rnacentral:lncRNA from 1 species
UUAACUUUCAGAAAAACAAUGCUUAUUGAAUUUCUUAAGUUCAUGUUUCUAAUACUUAGUGCUUUGAUAAUCUUUUAUCAAGGCUUCUUGAACUUAUACACCUUUGCCUUAGAUAGUUCAUAUGUGUGUCUAAACAAUUAAGACUAAUUGCCAAACCUCACAAUUCAAAUCAUGGAAAGGGAUACCGUAACCAUAAUCGAAUUUGAGAAUGCAAUUUUACAAUCACUAUCUUCUUAAAAUCUUUCUUAGUGAAAGCAUUUCCUCACAAUCAUUUUCAUGAAGGAGGAAAUCUUAUGACACUUAGAUUUAAACGGUGUAUGUGUUCCUAUCCAUGUGAAUUUGUUAAAACCAAAGUUUACGACAAAUUCAAACUCAUAUGGACCGAACUUUCUUAAUCUUGAUUUCUUGCCUUAUGGUAGCACAGCUGCCCACCAUGUCUUCCAAGUAGUUAAGCAGCUCACCCUUUCCUAUCAAUGUACUUUCCAUUGAUCAAGGUCCUUGCCUUUUAUGCAUUCAAAUGAGAACUCAUAGGACUCACAUGCAUAAUUAACUCAAUUGGAUUGGCACAGAAACAAAAUAAUGUCAACACGAUAGGUUGUAAACCUCAACUCGUGUGCUAGUGAUGAUCGAUAAGGUUUAUUUGAUUUGUUCUUGAAACCUUUCAAGACCAUUAAGACUCCCACUGACUCCUUGACAUAUAAGAUUCUCUUGUCAAUAACCAUUUCUUGACAAACAAAUAUUCAAGAGUUAGUGUAGCUUUUAUCAAAACACUUCAUAAAUUGGUCCUAGUUGGUCUUUGUCUUAUCCAAGACAUCACAACUUUCCACAUUUGAUGAAUGUUAUAAACCUUCUUAAUACUUUUCACUCAAUGUCACAAUCUUAACUUUAAGACUUGUUUUGGAACGAAGUAUGAUUGACUUCUUGAUUUAACCAUUUCUUCAAUUCUUGAUUCCUCUUCUUAGACAUACAAUUGUACUAAGACUCACUUAGAGGAUCAAUUGAGAUAUGGUUCUUAAUCAUUAAGACCUAUCAUAAAGCAUAAAAGGUACUCUCCCUUCUUCUUAGAAUGGAGAAACUUUUAUCUUUCUGCCUACUUGAUUCUUCUUAUUCGUUCUGCUAUUGAUUUAAACUUUUUCAAUCAAUUCAGAAUUACACUUAAUCUUAUAAGUAUAAUCAUAUUUACUAAACCUUUAGUAAAUCAUGACGAAUAUCUUUGUUACUCUUAUGGUGGACUUGAUCAACACGCAACUUUGUGUACUCGAUCUCCUAGUCCUUCACUUGACACUUUGUCAAUGAAUUAGUCUAAUUUCCAAAUAUGAAAUUUCUCAUUCAUCGUGCAACCAAGUUGCAUGAUUCCAAGUUUCUGUCCAAUUGAAACUUGGGCGAUGAGAAACUCUCCCUAUUUGGUAAAUUCUCGACUUUCCAUAAAUAACAUAAUAAGAACCAAAUCCAUUAUUGCUAAUAAUAGAAACAUUUUAACAUCAAUUUUUCAUACACGCCAUUGUAAGGAUAAAUAAAUAAAAUUUAAAAUCAAAAUUUAUUUUAUUGCGGAAAAAUUUGUCCUUACAAUGCAACUCAUUGAAAAACUUAUGCUAAUACAUCUUUCUUAGCAAUCUAAUUCUAACUCUAAGUAGUAGCUCAAGAAUCUAAUCUUCGAGAAAUGCGAUCGAAAUCCAUUCCUUCACGGUUAGAUUCUGCUCACUUCUUCCCUUAAGCUUCCUUUCUUUUCUUCGAUCCUACAAAACAUCAAUUGUAAUCUUAUCACAUUAUGUAUUAAGAAUCUAGAAUAGAAGCUUAAAAGAGUUAGUUAAUGGAUUUUACCUAUAUUAGAGCCAUACGUUUCGACUCUCCCAUCUCUUAGAUCUCUUAGGUAAAUGGGGCAGCUUCGUCUCCAAUGCCCCUUCUCUUGGCAAUAAAAGCAAAUUGACUCUUUUGGAACAGGACAUGGAACUACUUCAGACAUUGCCUUUCUCUUAUGAUCAAACUUUUCGAUCAUAGCAUGUCUUUCGUUGCCAUUGUCUAUAUCCAUAGAGGUCUUGAAGGCAGAUUCACCAAUCAACUUUGCUUUUCUAUUGCGCCAAACCAUUGCUGAUUCAGCAGCAAUAAGCAUAUAGGUGAGAUCUAUAAGGGUCACGUCGUGGUUCAUCAUAUAGUACUCUCUUACGAACUCACUAUAUGAGUUAGGAAGUGACUGAAGAACCCAAUCAACAGCCAUUUCCUCACAGACAACGGAUCCCAACAUUCUUAACCUAUCAAUGUGUGACUUCAUCCCUAGGACGUGUGCACACACCGACUUUCCUUCUUUAUGUUUACUUGCCAAAAGGGCUUGAGUGAUCUUGAACUUUUCAAGCCUUUGAACUUGUGGGUUAGGGAGAAUAAUUGGAGGAGGUGGAGGAAGUGAAGCAUGAUUUCUUGUUCCUCGAUCGAAUCGUGGAAUAUCAUCUUCAUGUGGAAUGCUUGUUCCACGGGAUUUGGGAAGACCAUAGUUGUCGAACUUUGACAUCUACAAAACGGGAGAAAACGAAUUCAAGUUAGUUGAUUGAUUGAGUCCUUAGUAAAUCACCCAAAUGAGAUACUAAGGCUAGGACCCAACACAAUAUUCUACAACUCGGGAGAGGGAUGCCGUAACCCAAAUUGCAGAACAUUUGAAGGUAAGUGAAUGACGAUUCACUAAUUUCCACCAUGAAAAACGAAAAAGAAAUUUAAGUUUUAAAUCUAUGAAAACUCCUAGAUCCUUUGAGAUUCAUUGAACAUUUCAAUGGCAUGUUUAAAUCUCGAUAUGCCCCUCUUGUUUGUGACUGGGAUGCCGAGGAUCACAAAGCGGGUGUGAAUAACCAUGCAAACUUACAUGGUGCCCUCACAUGUUACAGUCACCUAUUCGAUGUGCCGGUAAACCACACACGCUCCACCGAACUAUGACAAACAUUGAGUCACCCUUUGCUACCUUUGCUUAGAACCAUUUAGUGUGCCGGUAAACCACACACGCUCCACUAACGUCUUCGCAAGGGCACAAAGUGUAAUUUCAUGGAAUUGCAUCAAUUCACUUUUGCCUAAGUAACUAAGAUUGGGAAUUUUAUGAAAACAUUUAGUUACUUUUAUACUUCAUUAUACUUAUAAUGGAAGGUUUCGUCCUAUCCUACCCGUUCGGCUAACGACCCUCCACUAGUCAAGAGUGCGGUGGGUAAGAGUGGAUACCCAUUCAAUCGCCAUUUUAUAGGCAAUUUCCUUAAACACCCCUUAUAGACCAGCUUCGUGAAUGAGGCCUACUAACGGUAAGACUGACUUUUACUCAUACAUAUAUAUAAUGUUAGACUUUUAAUGUUAUAUAUAGUAUAGGGUGUAUUUUACACUUUUAAAAUACUAGGUGGUCAAAUUUAACAAUUAUACUUUUAAUUCAAUUAAAUUGUAAACCUAAACUUUUAUGGAUUUAUUAAACCUCUUUUAAUUAUACACCUUAAUUAAUUAAUAAAACCAUAAGGGUGUGAUUUGAACUUUUUCAAAACUAUACUAGAGUUUUAGAAUUUAACAUUCCUAAUUAAACUUUUAAUCAACUUUUAAAUUCCAAAACUUGAGGGCAAGUUUUGAAACAUUUCAACACAUUAGGGUUUAGAAUUUAAAUAUACAUCAAAAUUAAACCAUUUAAUCAAAAUUUAAAUUCCAAAACUUGAGGGCAAGUUUUGAAACCUUUUUCAAAACAUUAGGGUUUCAACUAUUUAAAUUUCAAAACAACAAAACUUUUGGGUUCAAAUUUAAACUAUAAAACCUAAAGGGGAAAAUAUGAAACUUUUCAUAACAACAAGGAUCAAAUAACAAAUAAUCUAAAUUAACAAUUAAUCACAUAAUUAUCCAUAUUUGAUUUAUUUAAUGAUUUCUUGCAAAACAAUUUAUCAAUUUAGUCAAAAUAAUUAAUCAAUUAUCACAUAAGGAAACAAUUAUCUUAUUAAUUGAUAAAUAUCUUCAAUUAGAUCAAAAAUAUAGUCAAAUAUAUCAUAUAAUCGGAUUAAUAUUGAUCUAACAUGAUAAGGUAACUAUCCAUAAGCAAAAACAGCAAGAAAUCCCGAAAUACCCUCCAUCUGACGAGUUGACUCGUCGAGUCAGGCUUGGACUCGUCGAGUCACCUUGGACUCGGCGAGUUCAGCUAUGGACUCGGCGAGUCCAGCCUCCAGAAACCCAAAAAACGAAUUUUCCAGAUAUGCAAUGCAUCAAUACAAUUGAAACCAAGCUAGGCUCUGAUACCACUGAUGGGUUUUGGUCAUAAGACAUCCUAUGUGCUCAUACAAACCCUAAUGCUUGGAUCUAGGUUUCUCUAUUGUACAUGCUUUGAAUCCAAGACUAUAAACCCUAAUUCUAGCAUAUGGAAAUCAAUAUUAACAUAUAAUUAGGUUUAAGAUAUUACCUUGAUUGUUAUGUAGCAAUAACAAUCCCAAUUCCUCCUUGAAUUGACUUUGGAAGGCUUAGAGUCACAAGUGUCACUCCUCUAAUGGCUCACAAACACCAUAAGCAAGAGGAUGAAGAGGAGAGAGGAUGGAGGCUGCCCAAAACGUGUUCUAACCCUAGAAAAGAAGUUCCCCACGUUUUUGAGCCUUAAGGGUUCUAUAUAUAGUGAGGCUAUUAGGGUUAUCUAACAAGGAAACCCUAAUUUGGUUGCUUAAGCCCUAAGCAACCCAUAGACUCCUUUAAUCAAGCCCUUGGACGAUUUCCUUAUGGGCUUCCCAUAAGAAUUCGUCCACCUCUUGAUUUAAGACAAUCCAUGGCCCAAAUUGCAAUUAUCUUAUAAUUACAAUUCCAGUCCCUUAAGUUUAAUUAAUCUCUUUUAGUCACAAAACUAAUUACCAAUUAAUUAUUGACUAAUAUUAAUUAAACAAUAUGAUUUCUCCUUUAAUAUAUUAUUCCCAUAAUAUAUUAAUAAAUCAUAUUUAAUCCUUUCUCUCCAUAAUUCAUCCUAUCAAGUUGCUUUGGUGAAGGCAACCCAAAAGGACCAUGCACCAUCGGGUCAAGUACAUACCAAAAUAGUUAUGGACUUAGACACUAAUCCAACAGUCUCCCACUUGGAUAAGUCUAAUAACUAUUAUGCGUAUGACUUCAGAUCCUGAUCUGCAAUCGUAGCUUUCCAAAGCCGCUGUCAACUCUGAUCCUAUCAGAUACGCGUGUCCUUAGAUAAGGGAUCAUAUAUUCCUCCAUUCUAGAUAUCAUAUGAGAUAUGAUUUCAAAUCAUUCUCUUUGUACUAUAUCUCGAUUUCCGAUUUAUGACGACUGACUAAUUGAACAAAUCAAAUUAGCCCUAGCCCGGCCGAGCAUUUACGUUUGUCAUCACUAAAUCAUCGAGGGGCCCAAAGAUAUCGCUUUUAUCCUACUUUGGAUAAAAGGAACGGAUAAACUUUGAUACAAUGCUUGCUUGCACUCACUCACCGAAUCACACACAACAAUAUGUUUUAUAACACCAAGUUACUAGUGCGUUUACAUAUUAUCAAUGUGCAACCGAUUUGCAAGAUACAACUCACACAUCUCGGUUUCAAGAAUAUAAGAUGUUAUCGUCUCACCAAUCACUCGUGAUACAAUUCAUGGAGUGAUCCAAGUGAGCGUGGGUUUAAUCCAAUGCUCAAAUCAUAUUCAUAAGCACUCAUGAACGUUGCAGCAAACAUUUGCUUAUGUCUAAUACUCUUUAAAACAAUCCACACACCAAUUCACGACAGUCUUCAUUCAUAUCUACUUCCAACAUAUGAACGACUGUGGCCCGUUCGAAUAAUUCGAUUAUUCUUAAUAAACUCAAUUAUUCUGGAAGUCAAAACAUGCAAAUGUGAAACACAAGAAUAAUACUAAUCCCAUAUGGCCUCAAACCUUUGAGUAUAAAUAAAACACCUUUUAUUUAUCACCAUAUCGAUUACUCAUUAUUUGUCGUUUCGGGUAAUCAACUUCUUACUUGAAUUAUUACACUUGUCCCAUGCUCCUAGCAUGCACACAAUGUUUACCUAUGGUUCUUACUUUGUGAAAUAGAUCAAAUUGAACACAUUUCCAAUCAUUCUCAUUUCACAACUCCAAAUCCUUUUUCAUAAGUGUAAGAAUAUCAAAUUCUUGCUACUUAUAGAAUAUGCUAGAUUCUAACAUUUUAUGCAAUGAUCCUUUCGUAAUGUCACUGCACCAAAGUCACAAAGACUAUUGCCAAUGAUAUUACAAAGUUCUCUAUCGGAGAUUGUUACAAGACAAUUCCUUAGAUAUGAUGUCUCUCACUCAAAGUACAUUCCUUUGAACAUCCUUUUGCAUAAAAGUUUCUAAUCUAGACAUAGAUUUUCAAUAUUCAAUUCCCAAUAUGGACACGUUUCCAUAUUUUCCAUAUGACAACUCAUUCUUAAUAGAAUCUUAUCUAUUCGUAAUGAUGUCGAUAUGGUCCAUCCAAUAUGGAAACAUUUCCAUAUUUUCCAAUACUAUACUUCCAACUACUCACAAGCGACCAAUCCUCGUCGAACUUUGGAUUGUCCUUUGAUAGUUGUUUAAUUAUUUUAGUCAAAACCGAUUCUAGUCCCUUUUCCCUCUAAAUGCGCUAGACAUUUGGAAAAUUUUAGAAUGGUCAAACAUUAAAGCAUUUGCAAUCGAUCCUAUACCCGAAGCGUAUGGGACACGACGCAUAAUGUUUUAUUUGCUAUGUUCUCAAAAUUCGAAUUGUGAAGAGGAAUGCCGUAAUCAUAAUCGAAAUUUUAAGAACACACUAUGUACCUUUGACUAAAUUUAUUAACAUUUCUCAACCUAAUCCUUUAGAUUUGAAAUGAAGCAUAAUAUUCUCUCCCUUAAUUAUAGCAAAACAACUUUUCAACUCUUACAACUUUGCAAAGUAUGACUCUUGUUUUCUAUAAUUAAUAUUGCUAACCUUGCAAUACUUUCCUUAAUAAUCAUACAAUCAUAACUUUUAUGCUCCCACUAUCAUGAUGAUUAUUAUAAAACAUAACACUUAUGCUCCCACUAGCUUCGACAUGUAUUCAUAAACAUCUUAACUUUCAGAAAAACAAUGCUUAUUGAAUUUCUUAAGUUCAUGUUUCUAAUACUUAGUGCUUUGAUAAUCUUUUAUCAAGGCUUCUUGAACUUAUACACCUUUGCCUUCGAUAGUUCAUAUGUGUGUCUAAACAAUUAAGACUAAUUGCCAAACCUCACAAUUCAAAUUAUGGAAAGGGAUACCGUAACCAUAAUCGAAUUCGAGAAUGCAAUUUUACAAUCACUAUCUUCUUAAAAUCUUUCUUAGUGAAAGCAUUUCCUCACAAUCAUUUUCAUGAAGGAGGAAAUCUUAUGACACUUAGAUUUAAACGGUGUAUGUGUUCCUAUCCAUGUGAAUUUGUUAAAACCAAAGUUUACGACAAAUUCAAACUCAUAUGGACCGAACUUUCUUAAUCUUGAUUUCUUGCCUUAUGGUAGCACAGCUGCCCACCAUGUCUUCCAAGUAGUUAAGCAGCUCACCCUUUCCUAUCAAUGUACCUUUCAUUGAUUAAGGUGCUUUGCCUUUUAUGCGUUCAAAAUGAGAACUCAUAGAACUCACAUGCAUAAUUAACUCGAUUGGAUUGGCACAGAAUCAAAAUAAUGUCAACACGAUAGGUUGUAAACCUCAACUCGUGUGCUAGUGAUGAUCGAUAAGGUUUAUUUGAUUUGUUCUUGAAACCUUUCAAGACCAUUAAGACUCCCAC